GUGGAUUAGAUACCCCGGUAGUCCACACCCUAAACGAUGAAUACUAGACGUUGGUCCUUUUAAGGAUCAGUGUCUGAGCUAACGCAUUAAGUAUUCCACCUGGGAAGUACGAUCGCAAGGUUGAAACUCAAAGGAAUUGACGGGGGCCCGCACAAGCAGUGGAGCAUGUGGUUUAAUUCGAUGCAACGCGAAGAACCUUACCUAGGCUUGAAACGCAAGUUAAAACUGAUGAAAGUCAGUGUUCCGCAAGGAGAACUUGUACAGGUGCUGCACGGCCGUCGUCAACU
rnacentral:rRNA from 1 species